rnacentral:lncRNA from 1 species
UGGCGUGCCUAACAGAGGUAAUACUUCGCGCUAACGGGGAGAAACCCGUAGAAGGAACUUCAGCCUCGGGAUAUAAAUCUUUUGCCGACAGAUGCGCCGCCCUCGACGUUCACCAUCGACCAACCAACCGACCAGAAUUUCCGAAAGGUAAAAGUACAAUAGAGAAACACAAAAGGUCCUGACAUAUGAGGAACAGGCCACGUGACGUUUUGACCACGGAAGGUUUGCGUGCAGUGAGAAAAGCAGUCAAGCCAAAGCCAAAACCCCGAGGAGUGUUAAAAUCAGGCGUGAUACCGCUUUUUGCGGGUUAACCAACGACGAUACCACUAUAGCAUGGUUAACGGUCAUGCAAUAUGUACUAGGUCACCUUGAGGGUAUUAAUAAAAAUAUUGAUAUUGAUC